GAUGAACGCUGGCGGCGUGCUUAACACAUGCAAGUCGAACGGAAAGGCUCCUGCUUGCAGGGGUACUCGAGUGGCGAACGGGUGAGUAACACGUGGGUGAUCUGCCCUGCACUUCGGGAUAAGCCUGGGAAACUGGGUCUAAUACCGGAUAGGACGAUGGUUUGGAUGCCAUUGUGGAAAGUUUUUGCGGUGUGGGAUGAGCUCGCGGCCUAUCAGCUUGUUGGUGGGGUAAUGGUCUACCAAGGCAUCGACGGGUAGCCGGCCUGAGAGGGUGUACGGCCACAAUGGGACUGAGGUACGGCCCAGACUCCAACGGUAGGCAGCAGUGGGGAAUAUUACACAAUAGGCGCAAGCCUGAUGCGGCGGCGCCGCGUGGGGGAUAACGGCCUUCGGGGUGUAAACUCCUUUCGCUAGGAACGAAGCGCAAGUGACGGUACCUGGAGAGAAAGCACCGGCUAACUACGUG
rnacentral:rRNA from 1 species